AGAGUAGACAUGUCAGCACAGCUUGAGCAAAUUAUCGCCCAACUGUUGGUCCCCGACAGCAAUGCUAUCCAAGCAGCAACGGUUAAACUCAAGGAGUUUUCUAAGGACCCUGCCAUUGUACCUGCUCUGUGUCAAAUUCUCAGCACAUCGGAGAACAACACGAUAAGACAGUAUGCAGCUACCAUACUGCGACAAAAGAUUGAAAGAAUUUGGUCAAAACUUGAUAACGAUCUGAAGAAUGGAAUCAAGACCAUCUGCCUGCAGGUUCUACAAAGUCAAGUAACAAAAGAAGUGAGAAACUCAGUGACAGCUGUAAUCUGUGUUAUUACCAAACACGAGUUCAGUUCGUGGCCCGAGCUGCUCAACUUCAUCACUGCGGCUUGUUACAGUGACAACCUCCCUGCUAAGGAGCUGGGACUGUACAUGUUGGGAGUAGUAUCAGAGUCUGUGGGGGUGGAGAUGGAACCUCACUUUAACUCCAUGUUCGAGCUAUACGCCAACUGUCUCUCUCACCACAACCAGCCAGAGGUGCUGCAUCUAACAUGUGUUGCCAUGAGUCAACUCGUUCCUUACCUUGGCUCCAACCAUGCUCAGAAGUUUGGUGUUCUUCUGCCUAAUGCUAUCAAUGCUAUACAGAUAUUGCUUGGCGUGGACGAAGAUAAGGCGUGCACCUCAUUCGAACUAUUCGACUCUCUGUUGGAGUGUGAGGUUGCGAUUAUUGUACCUCAUUUAACCUCACUUCUGACACUUUGUUUGGAAGUAACUAAGAACACUGCAUUUGAUGAUGGAACCAGGGUCAAGUUCAUGACAUUCCUGAGUUGGUUGGUGUCGACGAAGAAGAAGGCUCUGCAAAAACUACAACUGGUAACCACGAUCCUUGAUGUAAUCCUACCUCUGAUGGCUUGUCCAGAUAUAGAUGAAGAUGAAGAUACGUCUCAGAAUCCUGGAUCUUUUGCUGGAAGCGUCCUGGACACUCUAGCUCUCCAUCUGCCUAGCGAUAAGCUGGUACCGAUCCUGUACAAGAAUUACAUCCUACCACUCAUGUCAUCCGGACAACCUCUCGAGAGGAAAGCUGGAUUAACAGCCUUGGCUGUGGUAGCGGAAGGGACAUGCGAGUACAUGCUGGAGCACAUGAUGCAAGACUGUCUCAAGUUGGCCGGAAAUGGGUUAUCUGACGAGGCUCCAGAAGUAAGGAAUGCUGCCCUCUACGCUCUGGGUCAAUUCGCUGAGCACUUCCAACCCGAUAUCGUCAAGUACAGCAAUGAGAUCCUGCCGAUUCUAUGUCAGAAGAUCGCGGAGGAGAUGAGUACCCAAAGUGCGGCCCUCACCCGAACCUACUACGCUCUAGAGUCCUUCUGUGAGAACAUGGGAGAGAACAUUGUGCCUUAUCUGCCCGAUCUUGUGGAGAAACUGGUGGUUAUGAUAGCUCACAGCCCUACUGUUCACGGUAAGGAGCUAGCAAUAAGUGCGUUGGGAGCAGUGAGUAACGCAGCAGAAGAAGCUAUAGUCCCCUUCCUAGGACAGGUUAUGGAGCAUCUCAAAGUUUACCUGACCGCACCCGAUACCGAGGACGGCAUCAGGCUCAAGACCCAGGCUAUUGACACUCUCAGUGUGUUUGCUAGAAAGAUAGGAAAGGAAACGUUCAGUCCUAUGGCAGCAGAGUGCGUGCAGCUUGGUAUUGCUAAUCUGUCCUCCGCUGACGAUCCAGACCUUAGACGAUGUAUUUAUAGUUUGUUUGCGGCAAUAUCAUCUACAUGUCCUGAAGCUCUUUACCCUUGCCUUGACCCAAUCGUAAAGAAAAUGUUCGAGACCUUAGAGAGCACUGAGGGUAUGACGACAGAAUACAAAAACGACGCUAUGCCACGGUUUGAUCUUGACGACAGUAUCGAAGAGGGAAAAGGAGAGGAGAGCGACGACGAAGACGAGGUUUUGGGUGAUUACGAGAGUAUCGAAGGUAUAUUAGUAGAGAACGGUUAUUUGGAGGAGAAGGGUGAUGCUCUGACGUCUCUGUGCGAGCUGGCUGAUAACAUGGCUACUCACUUUGUUCCUUAUUACGAGGAGACAUUCGGUCAUGGUCUCAAACUGGUGGAUUACAACGCGCCAAUGGUCCGACGAGGCUCCAUUCUGUGCAUGACCCACGUUUGUGUGUCUCUCCACAAAGUCAUCCAACAAAACAACUUCCAGGACGAAAGUGCAAUGCUCCCCAAGUUCCUUGCUGUGUGUGUUCCCCUCGUGUUUGAUGUAGCUAGAUCUGAUAAGGACCGGGAGAUCGUGUGUUGCGCUCUAGAGUGCAUCAACGAGAUGCUGAAGGAAAUGAAAGGUGGUUUGAUCGCUGAAGAAGAGUACUUCGACUCGCUGAUAGAGAUUGUAAAGGACGUGUUGCAGCACAAGACUGCAUGUCAGAAGGACUCAGAGGAUGAAACCUUCUGUGAUGACGUAGAGGACGAUUCCGAACUGACGACUGUUUUGGUAGACUUCGCGGGUUCUAUUCUCCCCUCCCUGGCUACUGCUAUGGGAGGACAGCGGUUCACUCCUUACUUCAAGAACUUCCUGCCCCUCAUUAUACCUAAAGAAGGGAGAAAGCGAAGUGAGAGAAGCCUAGCAGCCGGAACACUGGCUGAGAUCUGUCAAGCAAUGAAGGAAUCUAUCAUCCCAUUCUCUGAUAAUAUGUACUCCGUCUUUAUGAGAGGUAUAAAAGAUAACAGUGAAGAAGUGAUAAGCAACUCAGUGUUUGGUUUGGGUGUGCUGAUAGAGAGUUCUGGGCCCACACUCGCCCCUAGAUACCCAGAGAUUCUGGGUAUACUCUCCACGUUCCUCAAACAAGAUGGAGACAGAAGAACUAUCGAUAAUGUGUUAGGGGCAGUAGCUAGAAUGAUGAAGACCAACCCUGGUUCUCUUCCGCUCGAUACUAUCUUCCCUACUUUCGUCAAGUGGUUACCCCUGCAAGAGGACUACGAAGAGAACAUCACUGUUUACUCAUCUAUCUACGGCUUACUGUCAUCUAACUGUCAGGUAGCGAUAGAGCAGUUACCUACACUUAUACCGCUAAUGAUAACACAGCUGACCAAUAAGAAAGUGGACGAUGAAACAAAGGCUAAACUCACUGAAAUUCUACAAGGUGCGUUCUUAAUCUUAUCUACAUUCAGGAAGGAAAUUUAACGAAAUUUCUUAAACGAAAAUUUUUUCAAAUCGUUCCUCCAAGUAGAGAUGAGUUCUAUAGGUACUGAAACAUUUUAUAGGUACUGUAACAUUGAACUAAAUCUCAGGUGUAACAAGUCAAUACCAAGAUCUCACUCUGAAGUCUAUCACAUCAGACCAGGCUGAAAUACUGAAACAAGCUCUAGCUCAUGUCAAUGGAUCAUAAAAUUGCCAUUAAAUAUCUAGGUUAAAUGUUGUGAUUUAUUGGGCAAAAACAUUUCAAAACUAUUUAAAAAUAGGCUUUAUUCACUGAGCAUUUAGAUAGUAUACUUUAAAGUUUUAUUUGAAUCUUUUUAAAAUUCUGUUUUAGGAUGUUUUUGUCAUCUUUUUAAUAUUUGAGUUUCGUUUGGUGGCACAACUGUGAUAACUUAUUUGUAGAAGUGUUGCUUUUCAUUUUUCUAUCAA